GUCUCACACAUUUGUUCUUCCCCUUGUCCUCGCUCCAAGGUCCAGCACUGCUCAGCAAAAGAGGGGAGGGGAGGAUUAAAAUCGGAUUUACUUGAAAGCAGAUUCUCUCCCUGGAUGCUAAUUUAAUCAAGCCCUCUGCAGCACCGAGACCUGCUGGAUGUGGUUUUCACCAGCUGAUCUCCGAUCGGUGCCACGUAAUGCCACCUGCCUUGCCAUUAAGCUUGUGUCUGAUUCCAGAAUAGCGAUCAUGAAAGCCUGGAAUUAUUUAUGAGGCCAUUUUUACUGCAUAGUGUCCCGGCGUGACGGCGCAGUGACGCCCCGUGCCGUUAGCCUGAGACAAACAAGCUCCUGGCAGAUGCACAUUAACUCGUACACUCGUUACAAUGGCCAACAAUUGUUUCGAAAAGAGUUUGGGCAUCGGGUUCUGACACGGAAAGACCGGACGUACGUGAUCCAGUGCGUCACAAUUAGGAUGUUAACAUAACACCUUUUUUCUUGAACAGCAAGUUUUUUUUGUUGUUUAUUUGUUGAAUACUAACUCGAGCACAGCUGCACUCAUUUUGCUCUCGAACUCUCUCAAACGCAGAUGGGUUAUAAUGGAAGGAGAUCAGGAGCCUGGCAGGCCAGAAUUGCAGUCACGUGAUCCGCUGUCGCCACGGCGCCGCACUGUACUCAUCGGCAGGUCUAGAGUCCAGAGAGUACAGGAGAGCGACACAUGGAGACUUACGUGCGAGAAGAAGACGCCGUCUUUCUCGUCCGCGGCAUCGCCGACGUUGCUGUCACUCGGCGUCCAGGCCUGAGCGAAGUUCAGAAAAUCCCAUUUCUCCUUAUCCGCCUCCUCCGCUCUCAGAAUCUUUGCACAGACUUCAGGAGACUGAAAAGGUCACUGGCCUCCUACUGCAGUGUGUUCCCAUGGCAAUGGCAUCAGGAGCUCUGGUUGCCAUGGUGGUCAUCGGAGGGGUUCGACAGCAUGAGUGCCGGGGUUCCUGUAAGCAGAAUUGCACGUUUGGUGUUCUGGAUCAGAGGGACCAGGAUCUUCGUCCUCGCUGCGUUCCGGGACUUCAUGUAGUGCGACUCGUCCACUAUGACCACGCCGAAGCGCUGCUUCUUCAGCGAGUCCACCAGGGACUGUGCGUCGUUGGUUGAUGUCGUCAGGAAGCAGCUCGGGUAUCCAGCGCUCCAGCUCCUCGAUCCACGGGUACUUCAUCGAAGACGGAACUACGAUCAGCAGAGGCCACUCGUGUCUGUAGAGGUGAUCCGAAGACCUACAGAUCGAGAAAGACGAACAGCUGGAUGACUAAAGCGCCGCCGCAUCGCUCGUUUUCAGCUAGGAGAGCUACGCUGGUCCCCGGAGGAGAAGCAUGUGAGGUUCAGCAGCGUUAAUUAACUGCCUGACCUCGUUCCUAGAGUACACGGCUUUCUGCAGUCCUGCUACAGAUCAGCCUUCAUCAACACUAUCUGCGUCUGACUGCUCUGACCUGGCUUACAUCGACCCGGAGCUGGAGUAAAUUACAUCGUCUGCUUGCGUUUAAUCACUCGCCGGCAGAGCUAAACAAGCUCUCGGACUGACGCUCUCGAACACUGAAAGCCAGGGUUUUCUACAGUGGAGAUAUCGAAGAAGUCGAAUUACACGAAUGCUAAAUACUUGUUUCUGAUUGGUCUGGAAACAUAUGUAUAAAUGCAAAUACAAUAACAACAUGCGGGGGGCCAAGCACCGAAAGGUUGUGUACUGAGUCACUUCCAACUACACGUCCAUCAAGUUUGCUGAUGACACUGUUGCUGAUCUCCAACAACGACGAGUUAAAAACAAUCUUCUCCUGAACGUCAACAAAAACAUGAGCUCAGCUCAAGCUAAUCUUGAAGCUGAUACAGCUUGACAUCAGCACACAUCUCUGCAACUGGACACUGAACUUCUUUACGGACAGACUGACUGAACACCGUCACCUCCUGCAGUCUCACCCUCAGCACUGGGAUUCCUCAGGGGCGUGUACUGUCUCCUCUUCUAUACUCCCUUUUCACCCACGACUGCGUACCUGCCUAUGCCUCGAACAGCCCCGUUUAGUUUGCAGAUGACACCACGGUGGUGGUCCUGAUCAGAGGUAACGAUGAGACGGCUUACAGGGGGGAGAUCCGGUACCUAGUAGCAUGGUGUGAGGAUAAUAACCUGGAACUCAACACCAAGACGACGCAAGAGAUCAUAGUGGAUUUUUGACAAUCCAGCAAUCGCACCUGCGCUCCCAUCCACAUCAACGGAGCUGCUGUACCCAGCUUUAAGUUCCUUGAAGUCCACAUCUCUGAGGAUCCCACGUGCUCCCUGAACUCUUCUAUCCUGAUCAGGGAGGCACAACAGCACCUGUUUUUCCUGUCUUUAAAAAGUCCCGUGCUACAGGAUACUGGAGAACUUUUACCAAACUGCAUCUUAGUGUGGUACAGAAGCUGCACUGCCCGACGAAUCAUCGCCACUCAGCUGCCCACCACGGAGAACAUUUACAAUAAACGUUGUCUGCAAAGGGCGAGGGGCAUCGUCUAAGAUACCCCUCACCCCAACCACGGAUUAUUGACCCUUCUCCCAUUGGGGCAGAAGCUACAGGUGCCUCAGAGCCACACAAACAGACUGAAGAAUAGCUUUUUUUCCCCUGUGAACAGCUGAUUCAAUACUGCAUUGUCGCUUUCUGUGUAUUUUGCACUGCUUAUCCACUACACACUUCUUUUCGCACCAUCCAUAACUCACGUUUGCACCCAUAUUUAUACUGUAUCAUACAUUCAUACUUGUAUAUAACUAUAUCAUGUCAUUGAGUAGAUCAUCUUCUGACUUGCACAGAAUAAAAUAAAAGUAUAUUAUCACCUACUGUACCUUCUUCACUCUCAAACCUGUAUAUAUGGACCUCAUACACUAUUUAUUUACUGUCAAUUAUUGUAAAUAGGCACUGAUGCACUUCUGGUUACAUGCCAACUGCAUUUGAUUGGCUCUGUACAUGUACCAUGACCAAUGACAAUAAAGUUGAAUCUAAUUAUAUUGUUUGAUUAAUCAGGGUUGUUUUUUUUUGUU